UGGGGAAUUUUGCACAAUGGGGGAAACCCUGAUGCAGCGACGCCGCGUGAUUUAGAAGGCCUUCGGGUUGUAAAAAUCUUUUCUAUGGGAAGAAAAUGACAGUACCAUAGGAAUAAGGACAGGCUAAUUACGUGCCAGCAGCCGCGGUAAUACGUAAGGUCCGAGCGUUGUCCGGAAUCAUUGGGCGUAAAGGGUACGUAGGCGGGUAAGCAAGUUAGAAGUGAAAUCCUAUAGCUCAACUAUAGUAAGCUUUUAAAACUGCUCAUCUUGAGGUAUGGAAGGGAAAGUGGAAUUCCUAGUGUAGCGGUGAAAUGCGCAGAUAUUAGGAGGAAUACCGGUGGCGAAGGCGACUUUCUGGCCAUCACCUGACGCUGAGGUACGAAAGCGUGGGUAGCAAACAGG
rnacentral:rRNA from 1 species